rnacentral:rRNA from 1 species
GGGGGGGGGGGGGGGGGGGGGGGGGGGGGGCGGGUGGGGGGGGGGGGGGGGAGGCUGGCGUCUGUGAUGGUAGCGGCGGGCGGGUGGGUGACACGUGGAGGACCUGCCGAUGAGACUGGGAUAACUUCGGGAAACCGGAGCUAAUACCGGAUGAUAUGUUGAACCGCCUGGUUCAAAAGUGAAAGACGGUCUUGCUGUCACUUCUAGAUGGAUCCGCGCUGCAUUAGCUAGUUGGUAAGGUAACGGCUUACCAAGGCAACGAUGCAUAGCCGACCUGAGAGGGUGAUCGGCCACACUGGAACUGAGACACGGUCCAGACUCCUACGGGAGGCAGCAGUAGGGAAUCUUCCGCAAUGGGCGAAAGCCUGACGGAGCAACGCCGCGUGAGUGAUGAAGGUCUUCGGAUCGUAAAACUCUGUUAUUAGGGAAGAACAUAUGUGUAAGUAACUGUGCACAUCUUGACGGUACCUAAUCAGAAAGCCACGGCUAACUACGUG